GAUGAACGCUGGCGGCGUGCUUAACACAUGCAAGUCGAACGGGAGACAUUUUAUUGAAGCUUCGGCAGAUUUAGUUGUUCCAGUGGCGACGGGUGAGUAACGCGUGGGUAACCUGCCUCACACUGGGGGAUAACAGUCAGAAAUGACCGCUAAUACCGGCAUAAGCGCACGGAACCGCAAUGGUUUUAGUGUGAAAAACUCCGGUGGUGUGAGAUGGACCCGCGUCGAUUAGCCAGUU
rnacentral:rRNA from 1 species